UACAGAGGGUGCGAGCGUUAAUCGGAAUUACUGGGCGUAAAGCGCGCGUAGGCGGCUUUGCAAGCCGGAUGUGAAAUCCCCGGGCUUAACCUGGGAACUGCAUUCGGGACUGCAUUGCUAGAGUAUGGGAGAGGGAAGUGGAAUUUCAGGUGUAGCGGUGAAAUGCGUAGAUAUCUGAAGGAACAUCAGUGGCGAAAAGCGACUUCCUGGACCAAUACUGACGCUCAUGUGCGAAAAGCGUGGGGAGCAAACAGG
rnacentral:rRNA from 1 species